GAUGAACGCUGGCGGCGUGCCUAAUACAUGCAAGUCGAGCGAACAGACGAGGAGCUUGCUCCUCUGACGUUAGCGGCGGACGGGUGAGUAACACGUGGAUAACCUACCUAUAAGACUGGGAGAACUUCGGGAAACCGGAGCUAAUACCGGAUAAUAUAUUGAACCGCAUGGUUCAAUAGUGAAAGACGGUUUUGCUGUCACUUAUAGAUGGAUCCGCGCCGCAUUAGCUAGUUGGUAAGGUAACGGCUUACCAAGGCAACGAUGCGUAGCCGACCUGAGAGGGUGAUCGGCCACACUGGAACUGAGACACGGUCCAGACUCCUACGGGAGGCAGCAGUAGGGAAUCUUCCGCAAUGGGCGAAAGCUUGACGGAGCACCGCCGCGUGAGUGAUGAAGAUCUUCGGAUCGUAAAACUCUGUUAUUAGGGAAGAACAAAUGUGUAAGUAACUAUGCACGUCUUGACGGUACCUAAUCAGAAAGCCACGGCUAACUACGUG
rnacentral:rRNA from 1 species